rnacentral:rRNA from 1 species
GGCCUACGGGAGGCAGCAGUGAGGAAUAUUGCGCAAUGGGCGAAAGCCUGACGCAGCAACGCCGCGUGGAUGAUGAAGUUCUUCGGAAUGUAAAGUCCUUUUGUAGAGGAAGAAUAUCCCGGUUCCCCGGACUCACGGACUGUGGGAUACG